AUUAGUUUUCUCUGUGAUAAUACAAACUUUUUAAAUUUACUUGAAAUUAGUAGUAGUAGUAGUAGUAAACUACUAUAAUUUUUCUUGCUAGCUAGUUACAUCAUAGAAAAGAAAAUCCCAAAUCAUGUAAAACAUAUUAAAAUUUGGGUCUAGUUUGAUUUUCUGUUUCUUUAUACAUUUCAAGGCCACGAGAUUAUUUUAUUGCAAGAAGUUCUAUAAAAUCAAAAAAUUAAAUACAUUUCUUUCUAGUUUUGUGUUCCCUUCCCCACCUGCAACUUUCUCAUUUUGACAAAUUGGUUUUUUCUACUUUGUUUGGUGAGUUGUAUCUCUGUUUGAAGUUCUAUAAUCAACCCUAAUUUGCUUCCUCUAUGUUUAAUGUACAGAUUUUGAAGCAUGAUUGGCUAGCAAGAUGGCAAAGCUUUAUUCCUGAUCUUGUUUCAGCUGCUAAAACUAGUGAAACAAUUUGUGAGAAUUGCAUGGCUAUAUUGAAGGUUUCUCUCUCUCUCUUAAACUAUUGAGAAUUAGUAGGCACUAAUUACUUGAAUAUGUUUUCUUCAGCUUCUAAGUGAAGAGGUGCUUGAUUUCUCAAGAGGAGAGAUGACUCAAAGGAAGAUAAAGGAGCUUAAACAAUCAUUGAACAGUGAAUUUCAACUCAUUCAUGAGCUAUGCUUAUAUGUACUAUCAGCCUCUCAAAGAACUGAGCUUAUACGUGCAACACUCUCCACAUUGCACGCAUUUCUCUCAUGGAUUCCCCUGGGAUAUAUAUUUGAGUCUCCAUUGCUUGAAACGCUGCUGAAUUUUUUCCCCAUGCCAUCGUAUCGGA